UACGGGAGGCAGCAGUGGGGAAUAUUGGACAAUGGGCGCAAGCCUGAUCCAGCCAUGCCGCGUGAGUGAUGAAGGCCUUAGGGUUGUAAAGCUCUUUUGUCCGGGACGAUAAUGACGGUACCGGAAGAAUAAGCCCCGGCUAACUUCGUGCCAGCAGCCGCGGUAAU
rnacentral:rRNA from 2 species